AUGAACGCUGGCGGCGUGCUUAACACCUGCAAGUCGAACGAAGCACUUUAUUUGAUUUCCUUCGGGACUGAUUAUUUUGUGACUGAGUGGCGGACGGGUGAGUAACGCGUGGGUAACCUGCCUUGUACAGGGGGAUAACAGUUGGAAACGGCUGCUAAUACCGCAUAAGCGCACAGCAUCGCAUGAUGCAGUGUGAAAAACUCCGGUGGUAUAAGAUGGACCCGCGUUGGAUUAGCUAGUUGGUGAGGUAACGGCCCACCAAGGCGACGAUCCAUAGCCGACCUGAGAGGGUGACCGGCCACAUUGGGACUGAGACACGGCCCAAACUCCUACGGGAGGCAGCAGUGGGGAAUAUUGCACAAUGGGCGAAAGCCUGAUGCAGCGACGCCGCGUGAGCGAAGAAGUAUUUCGGUAUGUAAAGCUCUAUCAGCAGGGAAGAUAAUGACGGUACCUGACUAAGAAGCACCGGCUAAAUACGUG
rnacentral:rRNA from 1 species